CGUUAUAGUACCACGCCAAAAUAAUUUACUCAUAAUUUUCAACGACAAUUGAUUGUAAAAUACAUACAAAUAAACAAAAUUUUUCUUUAAUUUUUUCUCGCAUUGGAACGUCGCUAUCUGUCAUCCUCUGUUACAAUUCGUAACAUUGUUAAAUCAAACUAUAUAUAUUCGAUGUACUUCAGGUUAUCGGAAAGCUUCCCCGGCGUUUCGCUAUUUAUCGCGAUGAGGAAGUGUCAUUUGUACCUACUAAAACGGCACGACUUGUUUCUGAACUUAUCGACAUAGUUGGUAAUAACACAGACGAAUACCUUCAGUUAUUAAUAAUAACGAUCGUUUACCGACAAACGUCACUGCACGAUAAUACAUCAACAUAAUAUCGCUUCGAUGUACUAAUGUAUAUAUAUACUUUUUUCAUAAUAAAUCGAAUUAAACGUUACGCAAUUCGUCAUCUGUCCUCUUAAUUCCCACAAUGUAUAUAUAUGUACUUUUUUUCAUAGCAAAUCGAAUUAAAUGUUAUGCAAUGCGUCAUCUGUCUUUUUAAUUCCCACAAUGUUUAAUUAGUCAUCGCACAUAAAUCUUAGUAUCUACGAUAUAGUACUAAUAAGUAGGAUAUACGUACCUACAGCCAAAAUUAUUAGCAGGAAGGUAAGUAAAGUUGGCACAUAGCAGACUAGAGUGCUCAAUUUCAAAGAGGUUGACACAGAUUUCUGUGAAUUACUGGAUACAAACGUGUGUCUAUAGGGAUGCAGGUAACGUUAGGGCUAAAAGGUUAUUUUACCGUUGGAGAAUUAAUUACAUUAUAAUCUCGGAGGAGGAAGUUUCACGAUUUCACGCACGGUGAACGUGAAUUGUGUAUGAGUACGCUCGAUCGACAUAGCGUCUGUACUUAUAUGUCAACCAGCCUACCUUGUUAUUUUCGGCGUAAUAGCGACGUAGGUCGUCGCAGCGAGCGGCGCCUAGGGGUGCCGUGACGCGCCGUCUCGACACCCACGUGAACAUUUUUGCAAGCACGCUGUCACGAUCACUGCCAAAGCAUGCAGUUGUGAUACACACGAUAAACAUGAGCAUUGGCAUACCUAUAGGCGAACAUUGUAAUACCUAGAAACCUCCCACCGUAAAAGCGACCGGAUGUAUAAAAGAGCCAGGCUACGGAUGAAAGAAUAGAAGGAGUUUAAAAGCGAAUCAGUGCGUACUGUCAUUCUGGCCGAAUUUCUAACAAGUCUUUCGUUGUAUACUUCGUAUAUUUCUGCGAAAAGACAAGACUUAUUAUUUAGUGCGUAUAGCACCGGCAGUUCCUUAUCAUUUAUCUUUGUGAUUAAACACUGACAACGUUCACGUACUUACGUAGCUACAGCGAUUCCGCCCCAUGAAAGAUCGAUUUUUUUUGUCGGAUCGCCGUUUCUUGCCUCGAUUCGGACAUCAUUACACCGCUAAUCAAUUACACCAGUUAUUAAUGUAAUGCAAAAUAUUUGCAGUCUUUUACUGGCGAUAUAACCUUCCAUAAUAAAAAAGUAUAUUAAUUCAUUUUUA